AAAAUGGUCUAAAUUCAAUAUCUUGGAUCGGGUGGAAAAUAAUCUAGUACUAGAAUUUAGAAAAAAACUGGGUUUUAGUCCGAGUUCUGACAAUGAUUCCUUGUAUAAUCUUAAGCAAGUCACUAAACUUCAUUGUGUGCCCAUGUCUUGUGUAUAAUGAUGAUCUUAAUAGCUUCCUUUCCUACCUCACAGGGUUGUUGUUAGGAUAAAAGUAGGCCAUAUACACGAAAGCACUUUGCACAAUAUAAAGAGCUAUACAAAUAUAAUGAAUAAGGGUCAAACAUGUUGAGUCUCUCCUUCCAAGACACACUAAAAGCCUUCUUACCCCUUAAAAAAAUCACUUUAUAUUGGCUAAAAAGAAAAUAACAUCACCUUCAAAUCUCAUUUUAUAUAUAAGGUGGAAAAUGCUUUUCCAAAAGUAUUAUUUUUCAUUUACCCAUUUGGGAAAAAAAACCAAAAUUAAAAUAUAUAUAAAUAGACAGGAUAUGCAAAGUUGAAGCCAAAUGAACUAUUCCCUUGUUAAAUCUUUUACUCCACUCUCACUUUGUCUCUAAAGCAAAAUUUCAGAGCUAAGCAACUCAGUCUAAGUUUGUUGCUUUAAAAUUGCUGCUGUAAUUUAGAUUCAAUAUUCCUCUGGGAAGAGGAGGUAGUACAGUUCUCACAGUAGCAACUUUAACUUUGAAUAUUGUGGCUUUUUUUUUUCAAAUGAAUACAUAUUUCAAAUGUAGUUUUCUCUGUAGUUAAUAUUAACUAGAGCUCUUGAUUCUGCAUGGACCUUCAAAAUAACUGGAAAUCAUUCAUUACAACAAACUUUAUUUGCAUUAAUAGAAUAAGGAUUUACUCCAGUUGUCCUACAGCCCUACUUGGAAGGUUAUCAUAUCUUCUCUAUCCAACAACAUCCCCUCCACCUCUACCCUUCACCAAAAAAUAAAAAAAAAUAAUAAAAAAUCCUGCUUUUAGCUACAUUGAAAUAAGGAUAAGAUGUAGGUAUUUGAAAGAUCAAAGACAAUUUUGAUCUUGCAAGAAUUUCAUUUGUAUUGGUGACUGCAAGUCCUGCUGAUGGUUGCUAUGGAAAUUUUCAGCAGGAGUUACUGUGAUAUGGGAGUCUAUAAUCAACAUUCUUUAUUUGAGAAAAGUAGCUUAAUAAGCUUUUCUGACAUAAAAUGUCACUUCUAGAUUCCCUGAAAGCUAAACUAAUAGGAUCUUGGUUAACUCUGGCACUCUCAGUCUCUCUGGUCAUCUUGUACUCAUGAGAACUAAACAUUAUAAAAAAUGAUUGGCUCAUACCAAUCAUUUGACUUCAAAAUAUGAUCUCCAUUUAACCAAUAAAGUAGUAGAGAUUAUCAAACAAAGGGAUGUCCCUUCAUCAUCUCUUAUCAAAUGUAUUAAAAUUAUUUUCAUUCUGGGUGGCUCAACAGUUCCUGGAGACUAGUAGCAGUCAAGUCAUUUAGUACAUUCAGUGACAGAGAUCAUCUUGGAGGGGUAUAUGUUAGCGUGAAUUCAGAAUGUGUGAUGUAAGAUGCUUCUAACGAGUGCCAAAGUUGCAGUUGACCAAAAAUCCUUAGGUUGUUCUGGAAUUAUUCUAUGCAACACUGAUUAUGUGAAUGCAUUUCUUCUGAGUGAAGUUAACUAUCCUCCAUAAAAUGAAAUAAUUUCAUUUUAAAAUAAAAAAUAAAACUCUUGGUAUUUUUUUUUAUAUAUAUCACAGCAUAGGUUUCCAGUUCUACAUAUUUAUCCUUCCACUGACUUCUUAGUGGUGAUGGAAUUUAUGAUCUCUGAUUAACUAAUUUUUUAUUGAUCUAAACAAUAUACUUCUACAACAUUUGCCUGAAUAAGUACAUCUUUCAGGUUCUUCAGAGGAAUUUUGAUUUUUCCCACAAAUCCACUUAAUCAUGAAAUAUUGAGAUUGCAUUAGAUCUUAAACCAAGGAGCUAUGAAAACAUGCUGAAAUCUGAGCAAAAGCACAGUGUGAGUGUUUACAAGGCUUCAUGAUAUAGUCUUUAUUAAUAUAUAUGGAUGGGGAUAGAAGCAGGACAUUACUAUGAAUAUGUUACUCAUUUACUAUUUCACAGUGUAAAGAGACAGGAUCCAGGAGCAGAAUAAAGGAAUAUAGGAUCUGCUUCUUAAUAGUACCCAUAUUUUUACAUCUAACUAACUUAUUAACCAAAUCCAUGUUUCAAGACAUAAGUGAAGUAAGUUUUGUAGAUCACACAUACACAUCUUGAAAUGGUCAUUUUGUGGGAAUAACGUAGCUGGUAACCAGCUAAAAUGGAUUCUUACUAUAGGAAUAAUGGUGGGAGUGGGUGUGGUGAGAGUAGUGUGGAGAUAUAAGUAAGCAUCUAUAGUAUAAAAAGCUAUUGUGCCCAAUUUAAUAGAAAUUAUUUGAUCAAUGUUUAGUUUCAUGAAGAUAUCAUAAAGAUGUUUAUAGUAUUUUUUUAUUAUUUAAAUCAUACUUAAUAUUUUAAAGGACUUAUUUUCAUUGCUACAGUGUCUAUUAUCCCAAAUUCUGCCAACUAUAUCUAUACAUGUAUAUACAUCUAUGUCUAACAAAUGAAUUGAAGAUAUGUGACUGAACUUGGAACUGAAAUGAAAAGGAGAGAAUGUUCAAUAAAUACAAAUCAGAUGAUUCAGUUGUUUCUUUCAAAUGAUUAAUUGCGUUUGCUUAAAAAAGACUAGAGUGAAUGAGUAAAUGGAUAAUCUAAGUUAUAAUACACAUUUUAAUGUUUUCUGUAUGUUCCGUUUUAUUUGUUUAAAAAAGUUACCUGGGGAACUUAAAAUCAUUUAAAAAUCCUUAAAUAAUAGUAGGUAGUUUGAAAGAGCAGUUUCUUAAUUUGUUACACUGUAUAUAACUAUACAUUUUGUAAAACAGACGAGUUUGGAUUAUUAAUUUCAUCCAGCAUUCAGCAUGUGAAUGUGAAUAUUAUUUGACAGUGUCUGUAUAUUUGUUCAGUGAUGUGCUCAGGUGCUACCAUGACAAUAUCUUAUCAAAAAAGAAAAACAUACAGCAUUCCAGCUGUCCAAUUUUUUUUUAAUUAAGAAAAUAUCCUUGAAAAAAUGUCAUGUUUCUAAAUUGAAUGUUGCAUGCAGUGAUAGUGAUUUGAUAUCUUCUUUUCCAUUUAUAAAUUUUACUUCUGAGAUUUCUCUGGAAAAACAAAACAAAAAAAAAAUCAAAAAGCCUUGUUCUAAAAGUUGUAUAAAUUAAAACAUAAAAUGUAUGAGAAUUGUACAAAGACAAUGCUUGUAAAUCUGUUUUAGUUUCCACUCUAUGUAAAAAUCCCUGUCAUGGUUUUGUGGUUGUAUACAGGAUGUAUCUUGAGAAUUUAUGCAAGUUGUGUUAUACAAAGGCUGCUCCCCCAGUCUAACAAAUAAAUAGUGAAAACAUCAACUCUGCUGUUACUCAUCAUUA
ensembl:lncRNA